GAUGAACUGUGGGUAGCGGAGAAAUUCCAAUCGAACCCGGAGAUAGCUGGUUCUCUCCGAAAUAGCUUUAGGGCUAGCCUUGGAAUAGAUUACUGGAGGUAAAGCACUGAAUUGGCUAGGGGCCGAGAGGUUACUGAACCUUAUCAAACUAAGAAUGCCAGAUAAUCGUUUUCCAGGAGUCAGACAGUGGGAGAUAAGUUUCAUUGUCAAAAGGGAAACAGCCCAGACCUACAGCUAAGGUCCCAAAGUAUAGUUAAGUGGAAAAGGAUGUGGAAUUGCAUAGACAACCAGGAUGUUGGCUUAGAAGCAGCCACUCAUUAAAAGAGUGCGUAAUAGCUCACUGGUCGAGUGAUUCUGCGCCGAAAAUUUAACGGGGCUAAACUAUACACCGAAGCUUAGGAUACCGCAAGGUAUGGUAGGAGAGCGUUCUGUACGGAGUGAAGUCGUAGCGAAAGCGGCGGUGGACUGUACAGAAGUGAGAAUGCCGGAAUAAGUAGCGAGAAUUAAGUGAGAAUCUUAAUGGCCGAAAGUCUAAGGUUUUUGGAGGAAGGUUCGUCCGCUCCAAGUAAGUCGGGAGCUAAGGUCAGGCCGAAAGGCGUAGCCGAUGCACAAACGGUUGAUAUUCCGUUACCGUCUACAAUUUAAACAAAGGGACACAUACAAAGCGUUUAACCCGGGCGAUGGUUGACCCGGGCGCAAGGGACUGAAAUAAGAGUAGGGAAGUAAAUGUGGCGUAUGGCGAGAAAAGCUUUGUGAAUAGAAGUAGACGCCCGUACCGCAAACCGACACAGGUGGACAGGAAGAGAAUUCUAAGGCCAGCGGGAGAAGGGUAGUUAAGGAACUCGGCAAAUUGACUCCGUAACUUCGGAAUAAGGAGUGCUCGAAAGAGCCGCAGAGAAUAGGCCCAGGCGACUGUUUAGCAAAAACACAGGUCUCUGCCAAAUCGAAAGAUGAAGUAUAGGGGCUGACACCUGCCCGGUGCCGGAAGGUUAAGAGGAGGAGUGCAAGCUCCGAAUUGAAGCCCCGGUAAACGGCGGCCGUAACUAUAACGGUCCUAAGGUAGCGAAAUUCCUUGUCGGGUAAGUUCCGACCCGCACGAAUGGUGUAACGAUCUGGGCACUGUCUCAACUACCCACCCGGCGAAAUUGUAGUACCGGUGAAGAUGCCGGUUACCUGCGGCAAGACGGAAAGACCCCAUGGAGCUUUACUGUAGCCUGAUAUUGGGUUUCGGAAAUCUAUGUACAGGAUAGGCGGGAGACUGGGAAGUAUGAGCGUCAGCUUAUACGGAGUCAUUGUUGGGAUACCGCCCUUAGGUUUCUGGAAUUCUAACCUGCGACCGUGAAUCCGGUCGGGGGACAUUGUCAGGUGGGCAGUUUGACUGGGGCGGUCGCCUCCGAAAAGGUAACGGAGGCGCUCAAAGGUUGGCUCAGCACGGACGGAAACCGUGCCUCAGAGUGUAAACGCAAAAGCCAGCCUAACUGCGAGGAUGACGGUCCGAGCAGUAACGAAAGUUGGAGUUAGUGAUCCGGCGGUAUGUGAAUGGAAAUGCCGUCGCUCAACGGAUAAAAGCUACCCUGGGGAUAACAGGCUGAUCUCCCCCAAGAGUCCACAUCGACGGGGAGGUUUGGCACCUCGAUGUCGGCUCAUCACAUCCUGGGGCUGUAUUCGGUCCCAAGGGUUCGGCUGUUCGCCGAUUAAAGUGGUACGCGAGCUGGGUUCAGAACGUCGCGAGACAGUUCGGUCCCUAUCUGUCGUGGGCGCAGGAUAUUUGAGGAGCUCUGUCCUUAGUACGAGAGGACCGGGAUGGACGUACCUCUGGUGCACCAGUUGUCAUGCCAAUGGCACGGCUGGGCAGCUACGUACGGAACGGAUAAACGCUGAAAGCAUCUAAGCGUGAAGCCGACUCCAAGAUUAGAUAUCCCAUUGCAUAAGCAAGUAAGACCCCUUGAGGACUACGAGGUUGAUAGGCUGCGUGUGUAAGUGUCGUGAGGCAUUUAGCUUGGCAGUACUAAUAGGUCGAGGGCUUGACCAC
rnacentral:rRNA from 1 species